ensembl:snRNA U1 U1 spliceosomal RNA
UGACUGUAAUGGCUUUGACUGAAAUUAAUAAAGGCUUCUAAAAAAAAAAAAAAAAGUGGUUCACCCAGGGCGAGGCUCAGCCAUUGCACUCCGGUUGUGCUGACCCCUGCGAAUUCCCCAAAUGUGGGAAUCUCGACUGCAUAAUUUGUGGUAGUGGGGGACUGCGUUCGCGCUCUCCCCUG